UUCUGCUGACGCGGGCACUUGCUAGACUCCAGGUCUAGGGUGACGCUUCGGCCGGGAACUGAGACACCUGAUCGCAGGCUCCGCGCCCCCCAUCACCCCAAUUCUGUCGUUAGCGAAGGAAGGAAGGCUUCCUCUAAGGAAAUUCGACUGCCAAAGACACUGGGGCUUAUAAGGACUUAAUCAAAAUAGAAGUGAUUUUUCAGUUUAAUGGUCAAGCAAGGGCAAGAUUCAGAGAAGUGCCCAGCUGGGCAUUUCUUGUCGCCCUGGACUUAGGGGGCGGAAGCCUCUGCUCAUUAGAGACACGGGCGCGAAUCCUUCCAGCAGGCAGAACAUUUUUAUUAAACUUGACUUUUAGGUCUGUGACUUUGCCUAUGUUUCCGUGACGCCGAAUUGCAGCCUGGUUGGGGAUGGAUUUCAGAAUCCAGGGCUACACCGGGAGUGCCCUCCCCACCGCCAACGGAGCACCCUCCCGGCUUCAGGAAGUAGAAGGGGCAGGAGUCACUGGUGCCUCGCCUGACUCCCACUCUCAACUCUGCUCCCGGACAUUCCUUCCUUCUGGAACGCUCUAUAUGCUGACAGUUAUCACUAGAGUUAUGCACAUUUAUUUUUAUUCAC